rnacentral:snRNA from 1 species
GUGCUUCUUUGGCAGCACAUAUACUAAAACUGGAAUGAUACAGAGAAUAUUAGCAU